GAUGAAGAACGCAGUGCAAUGCGAUAAGUAAUGUGAAUUGCAGAAUUCAGUGAAUCAUCGAAUCUUUGAACGCACAUUGCGCCCGCCAGUAUUCUGGCGGGCAUGCCUGUUCGAGCGUCAUUACAACCCUCAGGCCCCCGGGCCUGGCGUUGGGGAUCGGCGGAGCCCCCCGUGGGCACACGCCGUCCCCCAAAUGCAGUGGCGGUCCCGCCGCAGCUUCCAUCGCGUAGUAGCUAACACCUCGCGACUGGAGAGCGGCGCGGCCACGCCGUAAAACACCCAACUCUUCUGAAGUUGACCUCGAAUCAGGUAGGAAUACCCGCUGAACUUAAGCAUAUCAAUAAGCGGAGGA
rnacentral:misc_RNA from 1 species